GAAAUGCGAUAAGUAAUGUGAAUUGCAGAAUUCAGUGAAUCAUCGAAUCUUUGAACGCACAUUGCGCCCGCCAGUAUUCUGGCGGGCAUGCCUGUCCGAGCGUCAUUUCAACCAUCAAGCCCCCGGGCUUGUGUUGGGGACCUGCGGCUGCCCGCAGGCCCUGAAAACCAGUGGCGGGCUCGCUGUCACACCGAGCGUAGUAGCAAUCACCUCGCUCAGGGUGUGCUGCGGGUUCCGGCCGUUAAACAGCCUUACAAAACCCAAGGUUGACCUCGGAUCAGGUAGGAAGACCCGCUGAACUUAAGC
rnacentral:misc_RNA from 1 species